rnacentral:rRNA from 19 species
CGUAGGUGAACCUGCGGAAGGAUCAUUGUCGG